AAGGUGGCUAAGCAACAGAAGGAUGUUCCUUUCCCAAGGGGAGCAGUAUCUGAGAUCCAGGUAGAAAGACCAAAAGGAAAAUUAAGAACAGACUCUCAGACCUGCCUUCCCUUUGCAUUCAGAAGCAAGCAGCAUGCUGGAGACCCUCAAAUACAUGUGAAAUGAAGGGACACCUUGUGUUAUUUCACCUGUUUCCACCUGGUUCCCAAGUGGCAAGCUUGCAUUGAGGUUACAAAGUGGCAAAGCUGGGAUAUCACAUGAUGUCACCAUGAUGCUAUAUGAAAUGUAACAUUAAUUGAGUACCUAUGUGACCAGUUCUUUAAUUCUGUAAGUGAACUCUCAAAAAACCCUAGAGCACUGCGUGUUUUGAAAUAUACAAAUAGUGGGAAACGAAAUCUUUGUUCUGGAUGCAGUUAUAAUUUGGAAAGCGAGGAAAUAAAUUAUAACAAGGGGAAAAAACAGACACAGAGGGAUUGAAAUGCAUAACAAUAGAGAUGAAACACGAAGAGUGAUAAAUGAAGAUUGAGUGUGCACACCUUCUGGAGGAGCCCUGAUUGAGUAUUUUAAAAUACUACUAAAGUCAUGCCGUGUGACUUCUGAAGCUAGCUCCUAAGAAGUCCUUGCAGCUUCUGCCUGCGACUCUUAGAACACUUGCUUUGAAGGAUGCCAGAUGCUGUCUUAAAAGUCUGAGCACUCUGAAACCAUCAUGCUGUGAGGAAGCCCAAGCUAACCACAUGGGCAAAAAAGAUGCCCUCUGACUGCCACCAUUUGAGACACUCUAAUUAAGAACUGCCUCAUUGAGCCCAUGAGGCCCUGUGAAUGAUAAUAAUAAAUUGUUUUUAACCAC
rnacentral:lncRNA from 1 species